UACAGAGGGUGCGAGCGUUAAUCGGAUUUACUGGGCGUAAAGCGUGCGUAGGCGGCUUAUUAAGUCGGAUGUGAAAUCCCCGAGCUUAACUUGGGAAUUGCAUUCGAUACUGGUGAGCUAGAGUAUGGGAGAGGAUGGUAGAAUUCCAGGUGUAGCGGUGAAAUGCGUAGAGAUCUGGAGGAAUACCGAUGGCGAAGGCAGCCAUCUGGCCUAAUACUGACGCUGAGGUACGAAAGCAUGGGGAGCAAACAGG
rnacentral:rRNA from 2 species